AGGUCAGUGGUGGGUUGGCCUACCCUGUCUUUAAAAGACUCAAGACUCCACUGUGAUACACUGUGUUACGCUGUGUUACACUGUACUGGUUUGUGUUUGUGCCUAGAAGAAGAAGUGGUUGGAGAGGAACACUAGCAGAGUGCUUACUGCAAGUGAUCAAACAGAACUUGUGAAGUUUGAAUAUAACAUUGCAGACAUAACAACAGUAUGCCCCGACAUCAUCUGUUCAUCCCCUUCUCCACGGGAAGGAGUUACAACACGACUAUUGGCUCCCGUUCCCGCCACCAUGCUGAUCCUUUCGCUCACUGCCGUCGACCACGGUACAGCUACAACGAUCUGCUACGAAACUCUGUCUUGUGUAUGAAUAUGGUGGUCGCGAUGAGGAUGACGGCUAUGACAGAACGUAUGCACGCGACAGAAACACUC